UGACCACCUUGAUUCCGGCCU
rnacentral:miRNA from 1 species